rnacentral:rRNA from 1 species
GAUGAACGCUGGCGGCGUGCCUAAUACAUGCAAGUCGAGCGAACGGACGAGAAGCUUGCUUCUCUGAUGUUAGCGGCGGACGGGUGAGUAACACGUGGAUAACCUACCUAUAAGACUGGGAUAACUUCGGGAAACCGGAGCUAAUACCGGAUGAUAUUUUGAACCGCAUGGUUCAAAAGUGAAAGACGGUCUUGCUGUCACUUAUAGAUGGAUCCGCGCUGCAUUAGCUAGUUGGUAAGGUAACGGCUUACCAAGGCAACGAUGCAUAGCCGACCUGAGAGGGUGAUCGGCCACACUGGAACUGAGACACGGUCCAGACUCCUACGGGAGGCAGCAGUAGGGAAACCUCCGCAAUGGGCGAAAGCCUGACGGAGCAACGCCGCGUGAGUGAUGAAGGUCUUCGGAUCGUAAAACUCUGUUAUUAGGGAAGAACAUAUGUGUAAGUAACUGUGCACAUCUUGACGGUACCUAAUCAGAAAGCCACGGCUAACUACGUG